rnacentral:rRNA from 1 species
GCGAAGUGGGUGGCGUCGGCGGCGGUAUUAGGAAGGGGGGAAGGGUUAAGCGGAAGUACUGGGCGUAAAGCGUGCGUAGGCGGUUCUUUAAGUCUGCUGUGAAAUCCCCGGGCUCAACCGGGGAAUGGCAGUGGAUACGGGGGGGCUAGAGGGUGAUAGAGGAUGGUGGAAGUCCCGGUGUAGCGGUGAAAUGCGUAGAGAUCGGGAGGAACAUCAGGGGCGAAGGCGGCCAUCUGGAUCAACACUGACGCUGAGGCACGAAAGCGUGGGGAGCAAACAGGAUUAGAUACCCCAGUAGUC